rnacentral:rRNA from 1 species
UACGUAGGUGGCAAGCGUUGUCCGGAAUUAUUGGGCGUAAAGCGCGCGCAGGCGGUUUCUUAAGUCUGAUGUGAAAGCCCACGGCUCAACCGUGGAGGGUCAUUGGAAACUGGGAAACUUGAGUGCAGAAGAGAAAAGCGGAAUUCCACGUGUAGCGGUGAAAUGCGUAGAGAUGUGGAGGAACACCAGUGGCGAAGGCGGCUUUUUGGUCUGUAACUGACGCUGAGGCGCGAAAGCGUGGGGAGCAAACAGG